rnacentral:lncRNA from 1 species
AAGAAUUAUCCAUGGAAAAUGAUUUACAUAUAUUAAAAUUAAAAUUUGAUUGAAGCAUAUAUCUAGGCAUUGGCUUUGGUGGAUGGAUGAGAGUUACUAUCAGAUAAUUGCUUUAAGUAGCUCAGAAGUGAUAUCUGCUUCAUUUUCUUCUGAAAUUCUUUUUGUAAUUGUUUAUAUGGAGCUAACAAACCUUCCAAACCCCAUUUUAAACUCCACUCUAUGCUGGGAUCAAUUUCAUGGAAAAAUUCUGCAAAAUUAUUUGCCAUUAGCAGUACUUUGUUUGUAGUAGAAGGAAUUAUAUUACUCUUUUUGUCUUUGUCCUCUUCUUCACUAAAUCUGAUUAGUUCCUCAAAUUCCUCUUCAGUCAACUCCUC